rnacentral:rRNA from 1 species
UGAAUACGAGAUGCUACGGCGUCGAAGCAGUCUAUGUCAUACUUCCAAGAAAAGCUUGCACUGUCAUAAACAAAUAAUGCCUGUACCAUAACCGACACAGGUGGGUAGGUAGAGUAUACUAAGGGGCGCGAGAUAACUCUCUCUAAGGAACUCGGCAAAAUGACUCCGUAACUUCGGGAGAAGGAGUGCCUUAUUUAUAAGGUUGCAAUAACAAGAUCCAAGCAACUGUUUACCAAAAACACAGGUCUCCGCGAAGUCGUAAGACGAUGUAUGGGGGCUGACGCCUGCCCAGUGCCAGAAGGUUAAAGAAGUUGGUUAGCAUUCGCGAAGCUGAUAACUGAAGCCCUGGUGAACGGCGGCCGUAACAAUAACGGUCCUAAGGUAGCGAAAUUCCUUGUCGGGUAAGUUCCGACCCGCACGAAAGGCGUAAUGAUUUGGAUACUGUCUCGGAGAGGGGCUCGGUGAAAUAGACUUGUCUGUGAAGAUGCGGACUACCUGCACCUGGACAGAAAGACCCUAUGAAGCUUUACUGUAACUUGAAAUUGAAAUUGGACCUUAUUUGCGUAGUAUAGGUGGGAGGCAUUGACAAUAUUCUUGCGGGAUUAUUGGAGCCAUCAGUGAGAUACCACUCUUGUAAUGUUAGAUUUCUAUCUUUGUAUCAUUAUCUGGUCAAAGAACAGUUUCAGGCGGGCAGUUUGACUGGGGCGGUCGCCUCCCAAAUGGUAACGGAGGCGCACAAAGGUUUCCUCUGAACGGGUAGAAAUCGUAUCUAGAGUGUAAAGGCAUAAGGAAGCUUGACUGUGAGACCUACAAGUCGAGCAGGGACGAAAGUCGGUCUUAGUGAUCUGACGGUGCUGAGUGGAAAGGCCGUCACUCAACGGAUAAAAGUUACUCUAGGAUAACAGGCUGAUCUCCCCCAAGAGUUCACAUCGACGGGGAGGUUUGGCACCUCGAUGUCGGCUCAUCGCAUCCUGGGGCGGUAUUACGUCCCAAGGGUUGGGCUGUUCGCCCAUGAAAGCGGUACGCGAGCUGGGUUCAGUACGUCGUGAGACGGUUCGGUCCAUAUCCGGUGUAGGCGUUAGAAUAUUGAGAGGAGCCUUCUCUAGUACGAGAGGACCGAGAAGGACAUACCUCUGGUGUACCAGUUAUCGUGCCAACGGUAAACGCUGGGUAGCUAUGUAUGGAGAGGAUAACCGCUGAAAGCAUCUAAGUGGGAAGCCCACCUCAAGAUAAG